rnacentral:rRNA from 1 species
AGGACGAACGCUGGCGGCGUGCUUAACACAUGCAAGUCGAGCGGUAAGGCCUUUCGGGGUACACGAGCGGCGAACGGGUGAGUAACACGUGGGUGAUCUGCCCUGCACUUCGGGAUAAGCCUGGGAAACUGGGUCUAAUACCGGAUAUGACCUCCGAUCGCAUGGUUGGUGGUGGAAAGAUUUAUCGGUGCAGGAUGGGCCCGCGGCCUAACAGCUUGUUGGUGGGGUAAUGGCCUACCAAGGCGACGACGGGUA